GGUUCGGCAGGGUGAGUUGUACGUUUGCUUUUCUUCUGGUCUCCGGCGUUUAGGUCUUCACCUAUGAAUUCUUGUUUUUCACUGUCUGUUUUGGGUUCCUUUUCUGGUGUUUUAAAAACCUCUCCUUGCUGUGCUGGUUGACCAGCAGCCUCAUUUCCUUCUUUCUUUGCUGGGUGGCCAGCAGUGUCACUUUCUCCCUUUGGUGGUUCAUUAGCAUCUUCACCUCCUUUCUUUGUUGUUUCCCCAUCAGGUUUACCAUCUUUAACCUUUUCUCCACCUGCAUCCUUUUCUUCUUCACCUAUGAAUUCUUGUUUACCAUCUUUAACCUUUUCUCCACCUGCAUCCUUUUCUUCUUCACCACCAACUCCAUGAUCAGCACCAUCUUUUUUGCUGCUUGCUACCUGUUCUGCCUUUUCUAUUUCUUUUAUAAUCUCUGGCCACAUUGAACUGGUGAUUCUGAAAGGAGUUGAAUCAAAUUGUGAGACCACCAUUUUUUUUUGUGAUUGGGUAAGUUUAACUUCAUUCCCUUCUUCCUU
rnacentral:lncRNA from 1 species